GACGAACGCUGGCGGCGUGCUUAACACAUGCAAGUCGAACGGAAAGGCCCUGCUUUUGUGGGGUGCUCGAGUGGCGAACGGGUGAGUAACACGUGAGUAACCUGCCCUUGACUUUGGGAUAUCUUCAGGAAACUGGGGCUAAUACCGGAUAGGAGCUCCUGCUGCAUGGUGGGGGUUGGAAAGUUUCGGCGGUUGGGGAUGGACUCGCGGCUUAUCAGCUGGUUGGUGGGGUAGUGGCUUACCAAGGCUUUGACGGGUAGCCGGCCUGGGAGGGUGACCGGCCACAUGGGGACUGAGAUACGGACCAGACUCCUACGGGAGGCAGCAGUGGGGAAUAUUGCACAAUGGGCGGAAGCCUGAUGCAGCAACGCCGCGAGCGGGAUGCCGGCCUUCGGGUUGUAAACCGCUUUCGCAUGUGACGAAGCGUGAGUGACGGUAAUGGGUAAAGAAGCACCGGCUAACUACGUG
rnacentral:rRNA from 1 species